rfam:Triticum aestivum genome assembly, contig: Triticum_aestivum_CS42_TGACv1_scaffold_514254_6BS
AUUCUACUCCCUCCAUUCCAAAUUACUUGUCGCACGUAUGGAUGUAUCUAGAUGUAUUUUAGUUCUAGAUACAUCUGUUUCAGUGACAAGUAAUUUGGAACGGAGGGAGUAUACC